rnacentral:lncRNA from 1 species
GGAAAAUGGUUUGAGACAGACAUUGCGCUGCUUCUUGAGUCGUAACCAACUUUCACGUCUAAAAUUUAAAUGACUGUGCAUGUCAUAGAAUCAUGUUUUAAUUGUUGAAUCAUUUAGAAUCAUAUUGUAAUUUUCAAAGUUUCCUUGAAUCUCUUAUCGGUCUUAGAUAAAUUUCAUAAUUUUGAGCAGGGAACUAGUGUCUGCAAAGUUCUUGCACCUAAUAUUGACUGAUAAAUUUUCUUUAAAAAAUUGUGCAUGUCAUCAUCCGCUGCAUCAGCACAUAUCAUCAUCUAGCGUAACAAGUUAAUAUUCAAUCUAUGAACUUGGCGCAUCAAUCUAUCUCAUUAUCUUUUGCUAUCAUCUAAAAGUGCUCCUGUGGAAUAUGUGUCCAACUCAUUGAAUAUUUAUUGAAUUAUUGCCAAUGAUAUCUUAUGGUGUGGAUGCUGUAAAAUCCGAGUGUUUCUAAAAAAUCUGGUCAGUUCAUGGUACAAGUAAGGCUCAGUUUUGGAAGCAUGCUGCUGAGUUUUUACCGAAUGUUUCGAUGGGUUUCAGGUUCCGAAUAAUAUAACACAAAAUGCUGGACAAACACAAAUUUUAACUAAUGGAGGCACUUAUUUGAUUCAGCAAAGUGUAGACAAUGAGCACACAAUUGUAACACGACAAAGCCCCCAAACCGUUGCUGCUGUUCAGUGGCUUUUAGAAAAUUAUGAAACAGCUGAAGGGUUUCUUUACCACGUAGCACACUUUAUUAUCACUACUUACGACACUGCAAUGAGCACAAGUUGGAUCCAGUUAAUGCGGCAUCAUUUGGGAAACUCAUCAGAUCUGUUUUUCUUGGACUCAGAACACGUAGGUUAGGCACAAGAGGGAAUUCGAAGUAUCACUACUACGGUAUUCGUAUCAAACCCAGUUCCCCUCUGAACUCGAUUUUAGUUCCAUUGAAGAAGGUAGCAGUCCUGUGAGUCGGAGUGGUG